ACUGGUUCACAUGGUCUCAGCUCUGUGCUGAAUUGAUGCGCCGUGCUCCAUCGUCCGUCAAAAAUAGAAGCUCUGCAAAAGUUUUGCCAGGGCUGAUGGAUGGCGGUGCGACGACGGACUCACCACGCAGCGGAUCUGGAGUCGGUGGAACCUCACACAGUGAUUAUAAUGAAUGCGUAUUCGCUCCGCCGACGGAUCUGAAGCCAUUAUGCAUGCAGUGGAAUUUAGGGGUAACAGGAUACAUAAUUUUGUUGGUAAGUGACUUGGACACCCUCUCUUCUGUAAAGUUCAACGGAAUGGGUGUAAUACUCCAUAAAUACAACAGAGUACACAUUACCUCUGGUAGUCUAUGGGAAAGAGCCCAUGAAAUCAAGGGUCUUUCUGAAGCUGCAAUUUCCCUGCUUUUCUUAAUUUGUAUUAUUAGCAGAGCUGAGCCCAAUCAACACCAUAUACCAAAGCACUGUUUUAUAGGUCUUGUAUUUUUCGAAGAUAUCCUGAUAUUGAAUUCUCAUUAAACAUUCCAGGACGGAGUUCUCAGAGACAUCCUGGUAUGUAGACUUGCUAGAAUGUUUCAUCUGAAGGAGUUCCAAGAUGGCACAGUGGAUGGCAGCUUCAAAACAUGGAUCACCUCGUUCCACGACGCUGGACUGCACUAUGAGAGGGCACGAAUAUCAAGCCUUUGUGGGAUCACUAUGAACGCCCUAAGGCGAAAAGCUGGGACAGAUCUUUCCGACAAUAUAGCGGGACAUUUGCAGGAUGGCACUAUGAAAGAGGCUUCUUUGCCUUCUGUGAUAUCUGACUUCCAGCACCGACAAAGUGACCGAUAUCUCUUUGAAUGGACUGACCCCAUAGUACAUCAAGGACCUCAUCCAAAUCUAUACUCCAUCGCUCAAAUUGAGUCACCAUCACAUAAAUAAAUAUCAAUCAGA